rnacentral:rRNA from 1 species
GACGAACGCUGGCGGCGUGCUUAACACAUGCAAGUCGAACGGAAAGGCCCUGCUUUUGUGGGGUGCUCGAGUGGCGAACGGGUGAGUAACACGUGAGUAACCUGCCCUUGACUUUGGGAUAACUUCAGGAAACUGGGGCUAAUACCGGAUAGGAGCUCCUGCUGCAUGGUGGGGGUUGGAAAGUUUCGGCGGUUGGGGAUGGACUCGCGGCUUAUCAGCUUGUUGGUGGGGUAGUGGCUUACCAAGGCUUUGACGGGUAGCCGGCCUGAGAGGGUGACCGGCCACAUUGGGACUGAGAUACGGCCCGGACUCCUACGGGAGGCAGCAGGGGGGAAUGUUGCACAAUGGGCGGAAGCCUGAUGCAGCAACGCCGGGUGCGGGAGGACGGCCUUCGGGUGGGAAACCGCUUUCGCCUGUGACGAAGCGUGAUGAACGUAAAUGGGUAAAAAAGCACCGGCUAACUACGU